AUUGAACGCUGGCGGCAGGCCUAACACAUGCACGUCGACCGAGUGGCGGACGGGUGAGUAAUGUCUGGGAAACUGCCUGAUGGAGGGGGAUCACUACUGGAAACGGUAGCUAAUACCGCAUACCAUCAGAUGUGCCCAGAUGGGAUUAGCUUGUUGGUGGGGUAACGGCGAACCAAGGCGACGAUCCCUAGCUUGUCUGAGAGGAUGACCAGCCACACGGGAACUGAGACACGGUCCAGACUCCUACGGGAGGCAGCAGGGGGGAAGAUGGCACAAUGGGCGAAAGCCUGAUGCAGCCAUGCCGCGUGUAUGAAGAAGGCCUUCGGGUUGUAAAGUACUUUCAGCGGGGAGGCGUUACCCGCAGAAGAAGCACCGGCUAACUCCGUGCCAGCAGCCGCGGUAAUUC
rnacentral:rRNA from 1 species